UUUAUGGAGAGUUUGAUCCUGGCUCAGGACGAACGCUGGCGGCGUGCCUAAUACAUGCAAGUCGAGCGGACUGAUUAAGAGCUUGCUCUUAUGACGUUAGCGGCGGACGGGUGAGUAACACGUGGGCAACCUGCCCUGUAGAUCGGGAUAACACCGAGAAAUCGGUGCUAAUACCGGGUAACAUCUGAGAUCACAUGAUCUUAGGUUAAAAGAUGGCUCCGGCUAUCACUACAGGAUGGGCCCGCGGCGCAUUAGCUAGUUGGUAAGGUAAUGGCUUACCAAGGCGACGAUGCGUAGCCGACCUGAGAGGGUGAUCGGCCACACUGGGACUGAGACACGGCCCAGACUCCUACGGGAGGCAGCAGUAGGGAAUCUUCCGCAAUGGACGAAAGUCUGACGGAGCAACGCCGCGUGAGUGAUGAAGGGUUUCGGCUCGUAAAGCUCUGUUGUUAGGGAAGAACAAGUACCGUUCAAAUAGGGCGGUACCUUGACGGUACCUAACCAGAAAGCCACGGCUAACUACGUGCCAGCAGCCGCGGUAAUACGUAGGUGGCAAGCGUUGUCCGGAAUUAUUGGGCGUAAAGCGCGCGCAGGCGGUCU
rnacentral:rRNA from 1 species